UACGUAGGGGGCGAGCGUUGUCCGGAGUACUGGGCGUAAAGCGCAUGCAGGCGGUCCUGUAAGUUUGGAGUGACAGUUUCCGGCUUAACUGGGAAAGUGCUUUGAAAACUGCAGGACUUGAGGGCUUCAGAGGGACACGGAAUUCCGGGUGGAGUGGUGAAAGUGCGUAGAUAUCGUGAGGAAGACCAGUGGCGAAGGCGGAUCUCUAGACAGUUCCUGACGCUG
rnacentral:rRNA from 1 species